UACGUAGGGUGCAAGCGUUGUCCGGAAUUAUUGGGCGUAAAGAGCUCGUAGGUGGCCUGUCGCGUCGGCUGUGAAAACUCGGGGCUCAACUCCGAGCUUGCAGUCGAUACGGGCAGGCUAGAGUUCGGCAGGGGAGACUGGAAUUCCUGGUGUAGCGGUGAAAUGCGCAGAUAUCAGGAGGAACACCGGUGGCGAAGGCGGGGCUCUGGGCCGAUACUGACACUGAGGAGCGAAAGCGUGGGGAGCGAACAGG
rnacentral:rRNA from 1 species